rnacentral:rRNA from 1 species
GCCUACAGCCAGACCAGACUGAUUGCACCCAAUCUCAGAAGCUAAGCAGUCCCAGGCCUGGCUAGUACCUGGAUGAGAGACUGCCUGGGAAUCCUGGGUGCCAUAGGCC